GCAGUGAAGACGGCUGGCGGUGUUGAGCAUAGACGAUGAAGAUCCUUCGAUAGAAUAGUACUUGGAUGCGUCGUGUCUCCAUACAUGAUGGCAUCUACUCUUGACUCUUCCGCUGCAAAGUAAAAGUCGAGUUUACAAUCUUUGUAUCAAUCACUCUGAUAUAGAUAAAUUCGAGUUAUUUCAGUUCAAGUUUCAGUUGUGCCACAGUUUUCCCCUUUCUUCCCCGCUUCUUUCAUCCUCCCCUAGUCGCGAUCAACCGGGCUUUCUAUCCUUAGAAAGUGCGGUCGUGACAAAGAAAGGCCUUACUUGAUUCCAUAACGUUUACACGAUUGAAUCGAUAUUUCGACGAAAAAUCGAAACAUAGGAUUGCCAUGAGAACUCACGGUUCUCUCUUCUCCCAUGGAUUCUGAUUUUCAUCCUCUUUCCCCAAUAAAGAAGAAGUCAAGCUUAAUAGAUAAUAAUAGGUGACAACUUUUCUAGAACUUUCUUUUAAUCUCUAGUUAUUUAAUUAGUUAAAUUAAUUUCAUUUCUUGUGCUAAUUUAUUUCCAUAUCAUAUGAUUCCAUAUUUAUGAAUUCUAUAUACCAUCUGGUAGCACAUUAAUUCUAGUUUAAUCUAAAAUUACUCCCGUCCGAAACCUCAAAUGUUUCAAAUGAUCGAUUUUGCAAAAAAAACCGAAAUAAUCGGAGAUAGAAAUUCCAAUUACCCUCAAAUGGCCCAAAAUAAUUCCUCACAUUAUUUACAAUUAUUCUAGGCCAUUAUUUAUAAUUUAUAAAAUUAUUAGCCCUUAGCUUCGAUUUAUGAUUUUACACGGACAAAAGAAAUUGCCAAAAAUUGACUAAUCGGCAUUUCGUAUCAAAUUUAUAUCUUACGGUUUAACUUAACUACUAUUCCUCACCACAUAUCCAAACCUUUCAUCGAUCCCUAUAAUUCAGGAUGUUACACUACGCCCCUCUAUAUAUAGAAAGCCCAACGCGAGUGAAGAAGAGGUGGGACGGUCAGCACGAAGACAUCUUUAGGAUUUCAGCUCUCUUCUAGGGCUAAAAUUGGAGCUCAUUUUACUUCGUUCUUCCGGAAUUCCUUCACACACACACUUGGUUCCUGUUUUAGUUUAGUUUAGUUUAGUGGUUUGGUGUUGGUUUUCUGCACUUUAAGCUUUUGGUCAUGUUAUUCUGCUUCGAGAAGAAGCGAUAUCUUUUGGUCACAAAGACAUCUUUAGGAUUUCAGUUCUCUUCUAGGGCUAAAAUCGGAGCUCAUUUUACUUCGUUCUUCCGGAAUUCCUUCACACACACACUUGGUUCCUGUUUUAGUUUAGUUUAGUUUAGUGGUUUGGUGUUGGUUUUCUGCACUUUAAGCUUUUGGUCAUGUUAUUUUGCUUCGAGAAGAAGCGAUGAAACAAUUUCAUAUUUUAGUUUGCUUAUUUCCAGCUUACUUUUGAUGUUGUAGAAUUUUGAUGUUUUUGAUUUAGUAAAUCUAGUGUUUUGAUUUCGAUCUUUAUUGAAAUGUUCUGUUUUUAUGCAUGAUACUUCUGAUCUGCGUUCGGUUUCUAUUUUAUGAUGCAUAUCUUAGCUUAAGUGUUUGGAGGUGGUUUGAUCUGGUUAGAUAUGAGUUUUAGACUUACGAUUUGUCUAAGUUGUGAAGGAAAUUAUGGAUACGCUGUUUAAGAUGUUUAGAUCUAGUAGGUAAUGUUUUAUUUCUGCAUGAUCAUAGUUUAGUUUUUUGUUUACGUAGUCGUAGUUUAGAUCUUAAGAGUAUAUUUACGUUUACAAGUUGCUAUGGUGUUUCGUUGCUCGUAAUUGUUCAGAUCUACCUUUACUAUGCUUUUUAUGUUGAUUCUGUGAAGAAGAUGAAAUUGUUAGAAAAAUUUUACUUUAUUGUAUAUUUUGCAGGAGACUGACAAUCGUCCAUUUUAUGUUGUUUGUCCAUUUAUGAAAAGUUUUAGUUGAGUUGAUCAAGUAGAUUUAGUUAAACUUUAGUAAGUUGAUCAGUUUAGAACCUUAGCUUGUUUAAUUUCUCAAGUCAAGUAGUUAACUUAACCCACCCCUAGAAAGUGUGGCCGCAACUAUUCCCAUUUCGUGUCAAAAAACAAAUGCAAAACACAUAAUCUCUGUGGGAUCGAUCCUUACUCCCUAUACUAGUUAAUAGUAUUGUGGGUUAAGGUUUUGAAAACACACUUUGAACUCCUCGGUCCAUCUCACUCAAGUCAAAUCUAAGUCAAGUUGAUCAGCUUGAGUUUCCACUGGAACCACUCACCGGCAUUUUGCAGGUAGAAGGCACACAUAGGCCAGCCGGAUCAGUUUAACGAUUUAACUUGAGCAGUUCACAACGAUACCAAAAAGAAUGAGAAGAACAUAGAGUGAAAAGUCAGAUCUAGGGAAUCGACGGAUUGGAUUGUGUGACUAAAUUUUCAUCCGCGUUGCAUUAUAGAAGUUGGCGUAAUGCAGUACAGGGGUAAUUUGGCCAUUUGACAGAAGCUGAACCGCCAAAUCUUGGAAACUGCUAAUUUUACGGGAUUUCGAACGCAACAAUUCUCCUUCUUCCAUCAGUCAUUAAUCCCACAACCCUUACAUCUACUCCCACUCUCUCCACUACGAAAACCCCAUAUUUCAACAUCCCCAGCGCCGCUUUUGGAGAUUUUUUAUUUUCUCGACCAAAUUUUCCGAGGGAAUUAGCUUUCAACGCUGAAAUCGACUCGGAAACCCCGACUAAUUUCCAAUAGAUCAAAAAUGCCGAAGAGGGGUCGUCCGCUAUCGCAAGUAACAGAGGCUGCAGAAAAACGAGUAAGAUCGGAACUCGAUGAUGCAGUCGAUGAUGUACGUAAUGCGCCACUUGGAGACGUACUUUGGAGAGAAGGAUAAAGAUUGGGAUUGCGGGCUGACCGCAAAGGGAAGCAAAAGUCUUGAAAUGUUUCGAAUCAAAUUUGCAAGGGUGCUACUGACUUCUCCCUACAAUGUCCGCGGUGCCGCAAACCAAAAAAAGGCAACCAAGUUCUGGAGAGAUAAACCUAAAAAUUUCAAUUUCGAAAAGUGGGUAGAAAAUUAUGGGUUGUAGGGCGUGAUUAUUUCUAGUAUUUGUUGGAAGAAUUUGCACUUUAUUUCCUUUUUGCAAGCUUGAAUACACUGAACAAUGUUUUUUAAAAUAGCAUUUUUUGAUUUCUAUCAUGUGAACACUCUGGCGACCAUUAAUGGAUGUAUUAUGUUAUUUGCU